rnacentral:snRNA from 1 species
GUGCUACCUUUGUAGCACAUAUACUAAAAUUGGAACUAUACAGAAAAGAUUAGUAUGGUUCCUGGGGCACAAAGGUGACAUGCAAAUCCAUCACAAAGCCACCUAGAGA